CCUACGGGAGGCAGCAGUGGGGAAUAUUGCACAAUGGAGGAAACUCUGAUGCAGCGACGUCGCGUGAGCGAAGAAGGUUUUCGAAUCGUAAAGCUCUGUCCUAUGGGAAGAAGAAAGACGGUACCAUAGAAGAAAGCCCCGGCUAACUACGUGCCAGCAGCCGCGGUAAUACGUAGGGGGCGAACGUUAUCCGGAAUGAUUGGGCGUAAAGGGUACGUAGGCGGACCUGUAAGUCAGGUGUGAAAGGCAUGGGCUCAACCCAUGUAAGCACUUGAAACUGCGGGUCUUGAGGGAAGGAGAGGUAAGUGGAAUUCCUAGUGUAGCGGUGAAAUGCGUAGAUAUUAGGAGGAAUACCGGUGGCGAAGGCGACUUACUGGACUUUUACUGACGCUGAGGUACGAAAGCGUGGGGAGCAAACAGGAUUAGAUACCCCAGUAGUC
rnacentral:rRNA from 1 species